rnacentral:rRNA from 1 species
GAUGAACGCUGGCGGCGUGCCUAAUACAUGCAAGUCGAGCGAACAGACGAGGAGCUUGCUCCUUUGACGUUAGCGGCGGACGGGUGAGUAACACGUGGGUAACCUACCUAUAAGACUGGGAUAACUUCGGGAAACCGGAGCUAAUACCGGAUAAUAUUUCGAACCGCAUGGUUCGAUAGUGAAAGAUGGCUUUGCUAUCACUUAUAGAUGAACCUGCGCCGUAUUAGCUAGUUGGUAAGGUAACGGCUUACCAAGGCAACGAUACGUAGCCGACCUGAGAGGGUGAUCGGCCACACUGGAACUGAGACACGGUCCAGACUCCAACGGGAGGCAGCAGUAGGGAAUCUUCCGCAAUGGGCGAAAGCCUGACGGAGCAACGCCGCGUGAGUGAUGAAGGUCUUCGGAUCGUAAAACUCUGUUAUUAGGGAAGAACAAACGUGUAAGUAACUGUGCACGUCUUGACGGUACCUAAUCAGAAAGCCACGGCUAACUACGUG